rnacentral:lncRNA from 1 species
AGUUUUUCCUAUUUCGUCCGUUGACGUAUUGUGAUCUUCCCCUCAGAGUCACCUAUCUGUUGGUGUCGAUAAACGUUGAGUUUUUCCUAUUCGUCCGUUGACGUAUAGUGGUUCUCCAGUAAAGUCACCUCUCCGUUGGUGUCGAUAAACGAUGAGUUUUUCCCGAUCGUCCGUUGAUGGUUGGUUGUGUUCGCUUUUCCCCAGUAGAUUCACCUCUCCGUUGGUGUCGAUAAACGUUGAGUUUUUUGCCUAGUCGUCCGCUGACGCCUAG